CCUACGGGAGGCAGCAGUGGGGAAUAUUGCACAAUGGGGGAAACCCUGAUGCAGCGACGCCGCGUGAGUGAAGAAGUAUUUCGGUACGUAAAGCUCUAUCAGCAGGGAAGAAAAAAAGUCCUUUGGACUUUGGACGGUACCUGACCAAGAAGCCCCGGCUAACUACGUGCCAGCAGCCGCGGUAAUACGUAGGGGGCAAGCGUUAUCCGGAUUUACUGGGUGUAAAGGGAGCGUAGACGGCAGCGCAAGUCUGGAGUGAAAUGCCGGGGCUCAACCCCCGGACUGCUCUGGAAACUGUACGGCUGGAGUGCAGGAGAGGUAAGUGGAAUUCCUAGUGUAGCGGUGAAAUGCGUAGAUAUUAGGAGGAACACCAGUGGCGAAGGCGGCUUACUGGACUGUAACUGACGUUGAGGCUCGAAAGCGUGGGGAGCAAACAGGAUUAGAUACCCGAGUAGUC
rnacentral:rRNA from 1 species